AGUGAACGCUGGCGGUAGGCCUAACACAUGCAAGUCGAACGGCAGCACAGUAAGAGCUUGCUCUUACGGGUGGCGAGUGGCGGACGGGUGAGGAAUACAUCGGAAUCUACUUUUUCGUGGGGGAUAACGUAGGGAAACUUACGCUAAUACCGCAUACGACCUACGGGUGAAAGCAGGGGAUCUUCGGACCUUGCGCGAUUGAAUGAGCCGAUGUCGGAUUAGCUAGUUGGCGGGGUAAAGGCCCACCAAGGCGACGAUCCGUAGCUGGUCUGAGAGGAUGGUCAGCCACACGGGAACUGAGAAACGGUCCAGACUCCUACGGGAGGCAGCAGUGGGGAAUAUUGGACAAUGGGCGCAAGCCUGAUCCAGCAAUACCGCGUGGGUGAAGAAGGCCUUCGGGUUGUAAAGCCCUUUUGUUGGGAAAGAAAAGCAGCAGGUUAAUACCCCGCUGUUCUGACGGUACCCAAAGAAUAAGCACCGGCUAACUCCGUG
rnacentral:rRNA from 1 species